AUAGGCAGUGCUCGGUGGGACUGUCGUGUGACGUGCUCGAUUCUGGUGCGAAGGCAAACAGCACAUGCCGUCCGGAUGGGUCUCUUUUCGGAAACCAACCGCAGAACUAACACAUAAACAGAAUAAACAAGAUUGAAAUGACACAGGCGUCUUGUCGCCGCCUAUGUUGUCACGCAGAAAUAGUGAGGCCGAGAUAUCACGUUCGUAGCAUGGGAAGAGUUAAACAAAUUAAAAUAAUUAUUUAAAAUUGAAGUUGGAGCGAUUACUUGUCUGAUAUACAUCGAAAAUGCCGUGGGAUGAUCAUCGCAAAUCUGUUACAACGGAUCGACGUCACAGAGAUAAAUGUGGUAUCGUCUCAUAGUUCGCAAAGUACCUACUAGAUGGCACCACCUCUCAUCUAAUCUCGAUUUCUGCACAGGGAUUAAUCGAGCUGACCUUGUCAACAGCUGACUAGCAAGUUUCGCAGUAAUGGCGCGGUUUUCUGAUGGUGGACGCUUACGAAAGUGACUAAAGGAUAAUUAUAGAAGUGAUAUACACGGAAAAAGCUAUUCAGAUAUGUUUAAGGAGAUCUUCAAAAAGAGCAAAAUCUGGCGGUAAAGGAACUGGGACGAGGGUGGCAAUGUACAGCCUGCGAAACAAGUCAGUACGUCCACAGGGAAUUGGUAAUACGUUAUCAUGACCGCGUAACAAGUUUUACGUUUUGUAAAUGGUGCACUUUAAAUAAACGUUUAUUCGGAUUA